CUUCCCUCCCACAACCCUAUUUUUUCUCUCUCCCACACAUUCUUCUCUUCCUCUCUUCCCUCUCAAAACCCAGUCGCCUCCCUCUCUGUUUCUUCUCUUCUCUCUUUCCAAUGUCUUCUCUCUGUUCCCAAAAGCUAGUCGCAUCCCUCUCUUUUUUACACCAAUUUCUCUUUCUCUCUCCCUCCCUCUCUCACCAUCUAGGUCGAAGGCGACACUCUGCCUGGGUCGAAGGCUCUCUUUUUUUCUCUCACAUGUGGGUGGUGGGAUGGAUGGCAGGCUAGGCUUGCAUUGGGGAUGGGCGCACAGGUAUCAGACGACGAAGGACCAUGAAUUCGAUGACAAGCCCAUAUAUGAUUCAGCCUUAAAUCCAAUGCUUGAAAUUUCAGUAAGUAGAACUUCAGGCCAUUUUCGCUCACUUCGUGGUAGAGAUCUCGAUAUCCACAAAUCAUUUUCUCUAAUUGCUAAAUAGAUAGCAAGAGAGACUCCUUGGACUGUUGAUGAUUUUUUGCUCACAUUAGAUUGUUUCACAUUAGAAACAAUUAUAACAAUGAAGAAUGAAGACGAGUCUUGCAGUUUAAAACAUGUUUUUGGUCUUAAUUUACAGAUGGAAGGCAAGUCAAUCGAAAGGACUUGGAAUACUUCCACAAUCUCAUUAAUGAACUACUAAAGUAGUCUUCCUUUGACUAAUUUGAAUUUUUGUGUAAUGUUCUAUUUUUUAAAAGUUGUUCAAGUCUGUUUUUAUGUUGUAUGAAUCUGACUUGUUUAAAAUCUUUAUUUUGUUGUAUAAUAAUCUGUGUGGGUUUUCUU